AGACAAAACAGUACAGUUUGAAACAACAAACGCGUUUGUUGAAUCUCAAUAUUAAUAAAUAGUAGUUUUCAAUCGCAAAUUUGUUAUUUCAAAACCACGAAGUCGGUUUGAUACAAACCGGCAAAUUUGUUGUUUCUUCUACCAGCAAUAUUUUCAUAAUAAUAGCCGAAGUCAGUUACUUCAAACCAAUGUUUUGUAAUUUUUACCAAAAUGCAGUCGUUUAUUUUUACUAAAUCUUAGGUUGAUUUAACUGCCUUAAACAAACCAAAACAUUAGUUUGAUUUUACCAAUCCGGCGAUUAAAUCAAACCAAUAUUCCGGUUAACGCAAAAAUAACAAACAAAUUAGUUUGAAUCAAACCAAAUUACUGGAUCAUAUUUGUCAACAUCAUAUUUGUUUUUUUUUUUCUAUGUCAUAACCGCAUUUUAGUCUGAGCAGUUCAGCUGAACAAAAACUCAGCGAUUUUCCGUUAUUUAGAACUUACGAGAGAUGCAGAAUAAAAACAUUACGAGAACUAACGUGCCGGAUCUCCGAUUAGAUGGAUAUCUUGUCUGCGAAUUUGUUGGACCUUGUUUUUUCACCACUAGUUUCACCAUGAUCGCCGAGGGAUAAUUGAGGUGGAAAACUCCGGGAAGAUCGAACGGCUACGGCAAGGAGGACGGCAAAACCGUGCUGCCGGAGAUGUUUGCCGUCGGGUACAUCCACUCGAAAAAGAGGUACGUCAACAUCCGAGAGCUGCCCAAGAUUGUACAAACGAUUGGAUUCAAUUUUGAGGAUGCGUUGGAUCUGGACAAGGAUGCAUUGGAUCUGGAAUGGCGAAGAGCCUGAUGCCCUGCGAAGCUCUUGUGACCGGGACAGGUUCAGCGAGCCUUCGUUGCGAUUGCGAAGCAGUUUGUGAAACAAAUUUUCAAAACGUUUGAGUACAACGAACCAGAGAUGCUGUUGAGGGUUCUCCACAUGAACAAUAGAGAACAUAACAAAAAAAAAAUGUUUCUAGCGAAUAUUGUUAAGUCACAUAUUACAUUUUGGUAAAUAAAUAUGUGUAAUUAAGAAUUUAUUUAAAAUAAUUUUCAUUGUCAUAAAAACAAUAAUGAGAAGAAGAGCAAUCCAAUAAAAACAACCAAUUCGUUGGUAAAUUCAACCGA